rnacentral:rRNA from 1 species
GGAAUCUUCCACAAUGGACGCAAGUCUGAUGGAGCAACGCCGCGUGAGUGAAGAAGGGUUUCGGCUCGUAAAGCUCUGCUGUUAAAGAAGAACGUGGGUAAGAGUAACUGUUUACCCAGUGACGGUAUUUAACCAGAAAGCCACGGCUAACUACGUGCCAG